GGGCAUCUGUUCCCAACUCCACAUCCACAGCAGCUUGAAAUUGGACAGGGCAGGGUUAUUUAUUUACACCAUGGAAACUGGUAAAUGCUAAAGUCAGGGCCAACGCCCUGCACCCUGCGCCCACUCUCUGCCGGUUGCUAAACACUUUUGUCAUUACAUCAUUGAGCCCUAGGGUCUUGGGCCACCCCCAUGGGGAGCAGGAGGCCUGGGACUGUGGCUGAAGGAGGACGCAUGGAGUCAGAGGCUACGAGGCCCGGAACUGCCUGGAAUGAUGGUAUAAGAUGGCCAGGAUGCACCGAGCCCUGCUGCCCGGCACGUUUCUCAUGCAUUUGCUCACUGCUCACUACCACCCUGAGAGGCAAAGCAUCGUUACCAUCUGCUGGUGGGGAAACUGAGGCACAGAGAAGUGACUUACCCAGGGCCACUCAGCUAAUAAGUGUCACAGCCAAGAUAUGAAGCCUGAUCCUUAACUGCCACGCUCUGCCCCCUUCAAAGCCCCAGGGAUUGUCCCCAUUUUACAGAGGAAGCUGAUGGCUCAGGCGUGAGUAACCACCCCAGGCCAGUGCCCAGCUUGUGUCAGACCUUCUGAGGAAGCCAAGUCUGUCUGACCACAAAGCUGCCUCCUACCCAGCAUUCCUCUGCAGGGUCCCUGCCCUGCCCUGCCCUGGGGGACUCCUGGGGGAACCACAUCCGUGCUUAGGUGUGGCAUCCAGGGGGCACUGGGGAGGGAGCCCGCCGAGGGGUGCCAUGCGGGACUUGGCGUCCCCACCUGCCUGGUCCAUUCCUCCCCCCACCCCACUCUGCCCUGCCCUGCUGCCACCUCAGGGACCUCUGUGGGCUCUAGGUCCUUUCCAUCCCUUCCACAGCCUGGACAACAACAGGCCCUUUCCCACUUCCUGAGAAAGUUCCCAAAGAAGUUCAUUGUAAAAGCUACUCUUUGUCUUUUUUUUUUUUCCAAAAAAUGUGUUUUUAAUCAAUUUUAUAAUAAAAUCCAAACUGAGUUCUUGAAAA